rnacentral:rRNA from 1 species
UACGUAGGGUGCAAGCGUUAAUCGGAAUUACUGGGCGUAAAGCGUGCGCAGGCGGUUAUGUAAGACAGGGGUGAAAUCCCCGGGCUUAACCUGGGAACUGCAUUUGUGACUGCAUAGCUAGAGUACGGUAGAGGGGGAUGGAAUUCCGCGUGUAGCAGUGAAAUGCGUAGAUAUGCGGAGGAACACCGAUGGCGAAGGCAGUCCCCUGGGCCUGUACUGACGCUCAUGCACGAAAGCGUGGGGAGCAAACAGG